GUCAUAGUAUAUGAAAGCCCCAUUUACAGUUAUUAUAAAUCUUGUUUGCUGUGAAUUUUAUUAUAAUUACUAUCUUAACAAUACUUGUAUAAAUUAAGUCAACUUACUGUAUAUAUAAUCAGAUAUUUUAUGUUCUGCUUUAGUUCCCACCUGCAAAAGGCUUGUAGCUGGUGCUAUUCCUACCUUUAAUUUACCCCAGAAAAGCAUACCUCUCUACAUCGACAAUUGGAGCCAGGUAACAUUGCUGGUCGUCACACUGGUCAGAGGAGUAAAUGGUAUGGUGGAUUAGAAAAGGCCUUGCCGUAACAUAAAACAGAAGUAAUCUAGUGAGAACUUUUGUGGGGUUUUUGUACCCAGAGCUGUCAUUAAGGGCCUGUAGCUUGCCUACUUCUGUCUGAACAAAGUUCAUAUAAACAAAACUGUGAAGCAGUAAACAAACCUUUUACUUCCUCUUGUCA